AGCUGGCUUAAUUCCCCUCCUCUUGAUGGGGUACUGGCCUUAGUGACAAACAGAAUAUGAUGAAAACAAAGGGCAUGACGCUGGAGACCAGGUCAUAGAGGGCAUUGAGGCUUCCUCCUUGCCCUGUUGCCUGAAUCACUCACUCUGGGCAAAGCAGUGGCCAUCUUGUGAGAUAAUUUCAAGAGGGCACUCAAGCCAUCCUAUGGAGAGGCCCAUCUGGUGAGGAACAGAAGGUUCCAGACAACAGCCCACAAGAAUAACUGAGGCCUUCAGUCAAGAACCAAAUGACGCUGUCAGGAGUCUUCCAGAUCAUAAUUGGAAUGCCAUCUGGGUUAGGAUCUCCUAUGGAUAGAUAAACACAACAAGAGGGCAAAACUUGAUCAAGGCAACCCUCCAUAUUGACUAGACUUUUGGAGGUGUUAUCUUCUUACCUACAAAAUACAAUUUCUGCCAUUAAAUUCUGCAGCUGAAGUGUAUACCAAAUUCUCAUUUCCUUUAAAAUGUUAGAAUUGAGUCAUAAGACAGCUGGAAAGCCAUACAACCACCCUGAAAAGUGCUGGAAGCAAAGCCUUAGUGAGAUGACUCCAAUCUCAAACUGCUUGGCAAGCAUACGGUUCUCCUGGUGCCUGCCUUCAUCACGAUAGAGUCCUGUGGCUUGCUUUGCCCAACAGAACACAGCAGAAGUGACUUUCUGGGACUUCCAAGUUCAGGUCUCAAGGGAGCUGGCACUUUAUUUCCCAUACCUUGGAACCCUGACCCAUCAUGUAAGAAGUCCAGACUACACUGCUGGAGAGAGGCCAUGUGGAGGGACCCUGGAGGAUGAGAUAUCAUAUGGAGAGAGAGGCCACAAGGAAGAGCGUUAAGGCAUGAGACAUGUGAGCAAAGAAGUACUUGUAUGCUCUAGACCCAACCACUAUGACUGCAAUCACACAAGAACCCCCAAAGAAGACCAGAACCACCCAGCUAAACCCUUGACAAACCAAGGAAUCAUGAGAAGUAAUAAAAUUUUUAUUGUUUUAAGCCACUAAGUUUUGGGACUUUUUAA
rnacentral:lncRNA from 1 species